UGCAGAUAUGCUAAAUUAUGCUAAAUUUGGAACGAUGUAGAGACGAUUAGCAUGACCCCUGCGCAAGGAUUGCUCACAAAUUCGUGAAGUGUUCCAUAUGUUG
rfam:Octopus bimaculoides Scaffold44372_contig_101, whole genome shotgun sequence.